rnacentral:rRNA from 1 species
CUGGUUGAUCCUGCCAGACCCGAAUGCUAUUCGAUUGGUACUAAGCCAUGCAAGUGGAAGGGUCGUGUACGGCGACCCUCGCAUACGGCUCAGUAACACGUGGUGAAACUGCCCUGUGGACCGGGAUAAACGCGGGAAACUGCGGCUAAUACCGGAUACCUGGAGAUGCCUGGAAUGGUUCUCCACCGAAACGGACCUUGACCAUCAAGGCACCGCCACAGGAUGUCACCGCGGCCGAUUACGCUUGAUGGUGGGGUAGAGGCCCACCAUGGCAUUGAUCGGUACCGGCAGUGUGAGCUGGAGCCGGGAGACGAGUACUGAGACAAGGACUCGAGCCUUACGAGGUGCAGCAGGCGAGAAAACUCUACAAUGCGCGCAAGCGCGAUAGGGCUAAUCGAAGUGCCAUCCUUAAAAUGGUUGGCUGUGGUGCGGUAUACAAAGCCGCGCAAGAAAGGAGAGGGCAAGGCUGGUGCCAGCCGCCGCGGUAAAACCAGCUCUUCAAGUGUUCGGGAUUCUUAUUGAGCUUAAAGCGUCCGUAGCCGGUCACGCAAGUCCCCGGUUAAACCCAGGAGCUCAACUUCUGGAUUGCUGGGGAUACUACGCGACUUGGAGGCGGGAGAGGUAUCCGGUACGUGUGGGGUAGCGGUGAAAUGCGAUAAUCCCAUCCGGACCACCGGUGGCGAAGGCGGGAUACUAGAACGCGCUCGACGGUGAUGGACGAAAGCCUGGGGAGCGAACGGGAUUAGAUACCCCGGUAGUCCAGGCUGUAAACGAUGCCCGCUAGGUGUAGCAUUUGCCACGAGCAAAUGCGGUGCCGAAGCGAAAGCGUUAAGCGGGCCGCUUGGGGAGUACGUUCGCAAGAAUGAAACUUAAAGGAAUUGACGGGGGAAUACCACAAGGGGUGAAGCCUGCGGUUUAAUUGGACCCAACGCCGGGAAACUUACCAGGGGCGAUAGACGAAUGAGGGUCAGGCUGACGACCUUACCCGACGGUCUAAGAGGUAGUGCAUGGCCAUCGCCAGUUCGUGCCGUGAGGUGUCUUGUUAAGUCAAGCAACGAACGAAACCCGCGCCGCUAAUUGCUACCGAUAGCGUUAUGACGCUCCGGGCACAUUAGCGGGACCGCCGCCGCUAAGGCGGAUGAAGGUGCGGGCCACGGUAGGUCAGUAUGCUCCGAAUCCACCUGGGCCACACGCGGGCUGCAAAGGUAGGGACAAUGCGUUGCUACUCCGAGAGGAGGCGCUAAUCGUGAAACCCUAUCUCAGUCGGAAUUGUGGGCUGCAACUCGCCCUCAUGAACUUGGAAUCCCUAGUAGUCGCGUGUCAUCAUCGCGCGGCGAAUGUGUCUCUAUUCCUUGCACACACCGCCCGUCGCUUCACGCGAGUGAUCUUGGGGAAAGGCUCUCUCCUUUUCGGGGGGGCGGGUCUAUCCUUGGGGUCGUGAGUGGGAAGAAGUCGUAACAAGGUA